GAUGAACGCUAGCUACAGGCUUAACACAUGCAAGUCGAGGGACCGGCGCACGGGUGAGUAACACGUAACCAACCUGCCCGUUACUCGGGGAUAGCCUUUCGAGAGAGAGAUUAAUACCCGAUAUAAAGGAUGGGGAUGCGUUCCAUUAGGUUGUGGGUGAGGUAACGGCCCACCAAGCCUUCGAUGGCUAGGGGGUCUGAGAGGAAGGUCCCCCACAUUGGAACUGAGGCACAGUCCAAACUCCUACGCGAGGCAGCAGUGAGGAAUAUUGGUCAAUGGGCGCUAGCCUGAACCAGCCAAGUAGCGUGAAGGAUGAAGGCUUAUGAGUCGUAAACUUGUUUUAUAUAAGAAUAUGUAUUAUAUGAAUAAGGAUCGGCUAACUCCGUGCCAGCAGCCGCGGUAAUUC
rnacentral:rRNA from 1 species